rnacentral:rRNA from 1 species
CGUAGAGUGUGAUCCGGCGUCAGGAUGAACGCUGGCGGCCGUGCCUAACACAUGCAAGUCGAACGAAGCAUGACCCUGAGGCUUCGGGCGGAGAGGGGCAUGACUAGUGGCGACGGGUGAGUAACGCGUGGGUAACCUGCCCUAUACUGGGGGAGUAACAGCUAGAAUGGCUGCUAAUACCGCAUGAGCGCACAGUCCGCAUGGGACAGUGCGGAAAACUCCGGUGGUAUAGGAUGGACCCCGCGUCCGAUCAGGCUGGUUGUGGGGUAACGGCCCACCAAGGCGACGAUCGGUAGCCGACCUGAGAGGGUGACCGGCCACAUUGGGACUGAGACACGGCCCAAACUCCUACGGGAGGCAGCAGUGGGGGAUAUUGCACAAUGGGGAGAACCCUGAUGCAGCGACGCCGCGUGAGUGAAGGAGUACUCCGGUAUGUAAAGCUCUAUCAGCAGGGAAGAAGCAAGACGGUACCUGACCAAGAAGCCCCGGCUAACUACGUG